UAUUUCAUUAAUAACAAGUAACGCAUUACCACAAUAAUAAUAAAAACAUGCUAUGUGACGUCAGAAGUGUCAAAUUCCUGAGAUUCCUGCAGGACAGAAGAAACUUGUCUGGACGAAGAAGGUUUGAAGAAGCCGAGGGAGAAGGUCUCCUUCAUCACCACAGGAUUUAUUGGCGUUUCACAGGCUACAAGCAUGUGUAGUGUUUCCACGUCUGAUGAACAAGGAUGGCGACCAAGGGCGGCGUCAGGCCGGAUGAAGUUCUGAUGAAGAUGCAGGAGCUUGACGACCGGCUGAAAGAGCAGAGUGACAAACUGGAGCAUGUUCGCCUUGCUGUAGUUGAACUGAAGGAUGACUUGUCUGUGAGCAACGGUGAUCUUACCCAGUCUAUCGCUGAACACCUGGAGUGGUUGAAUCACAUGUCAGAGCGAGUGGAGACUCUUGAUGUGAACACAUCUGUUUUUAUCCAGGUGAGAAUCAAAAAGUUUCUGAUGGGAUCAUGAAAAUGUGCAUGCAAAAGUUGUAUUUAAGUAUGUUAUGCCAUAAUUAUAAAAAUGGGUCUUAAACCGCCUGAGCUCCACAGGCCCUCCAGACAGUACGACGGGUC
rnacentral:lncRNA from 1 species